AGGAAACGCAGUCCUACCCAGAGUUUCAGGUUUCUGCCUGUGAUCUGCAAAGAGGAGCCCCUACCGGACUCAUCUCUGCGGGGUUUCCCUUCAGCAUCGGCAACCCCCUUUGGCACUGACAUGGACUUCUCACCACCCAGGCCCCCCUACCCCUCCUAUCCCCAUGAAGACCCUGCUUGCGAAACUCCUUACCUAUCAGAAGGCUUCGGCUAUGGCAUGCCCCCUCUGUACCCCCAGACGGGGCCCCCACCAUCCUACAGACCGGGCCUGCGGAUGUUCCCUGAGACUAGGGGUACCACAGGUUGUGCCCAACCACCUGCAGUUUCCUUCCUUCCCCGCCCCUUCCCUAGUGACCCGUAUGGAGGGCGGGGCUCCUCUUUCUCCCUGGGGCUGCCAUUCUCUCCGCCAGCCCCCUUUCGGCCGCCUCCUCUUCCUGCAUCCCCACCGCUUGAAGGCCCCUUCCCUUCCCAGAGUGAUGUGCAUCCCCUACCUGCUGAGGGAUACAAUAAGGUAGGGCCAGGCUAUGGCCCUGGGGAGGGGGCUCCGGAGCAGGAGAAAUCCAGGGGUGGCUACAGCAGCGGCUUCCGAGACAGUGUCCCUAUCCAGGGUAUCACGCUGGAGGAAGUGAGUGAGAUCAUUGGCCGAGACCUGAGUGGCUUCCCUGCACCUCCUGGAGAAGAGCCUCCUGCCUGAACCACGUGAACUGUCAUCACCUGGCAACCCCAGCCCCAGCCUCAGCCCUGCCCCCUUUCCCUCCUUCCUGGAGUGGUGGCUACAGAAGCUUGGGGCCAACCCUGGCUCCUCUUUCCCCAGCUUCUGUCUGUCUCACUGUCUUCCCUCCCCUCCCCCAGCUGAGGUGUGGCCCUCAGGCCUGGUGCUGCCUUGGAGGGCUGGGGGAAGGAGUGUGUGGAGGAGGGAGGAGGGUGAAGACUGAGGCUAGGUGCCAGAAUGGACUGGAGUGAAGGCGUGUCUAGAGUGUGGGCUGGCUGUUGUGCUGGAAAGCUGGGGACAGGUUGAUGGUAAUAAACUGC
rnacentral:lncRNA from 1 species